AUGACAUUUACAUUCCGGCCCCCCCUAAAAAAUCUUCCUGGCUCCGUCACUGGGGAUAACUAUGGUGGUUCUCAGCGGAUACUUGUGUCGCCAUAAUUAUUUGAUUCCAUCACGAUCACUUCUGAAGCGGUGGUUGAGCUGUCCAGCAGAGGAGUUUGUAAACGCUUACAGUCUCUUAGGUGUCUCAGAGUCGAGCUCCUUUUCAGAAAUCAAAUCGUCUUUUCGAAAACUCGCUAAACAAACUCACCCCGACUUGGCCCCCAAUGAUCCCUCUGUUUCCCAGCGAUUUGUUCAAAUUCUCGCCGCUUAUCAGAUAUUAUCGGACAGUGAGAAGAGAGCCCAUUAUGACAGGUAUCUGUUAUCUCAAAGAUCACUUGUUCAGAGACAGUCGAGACAAGGCUCGGUACUGUACAAAUAUGAAUCCCAUUCGACAAUGAAGCAGAUGGAAGUUGUUGAGUGGCUAAGAUGGUAUAGAUAUGCUAUUAGUGACAUUUUAUCGGAGAAAAGGGUGGUAGUUGGAUCAGGUUAUCUUGACGUAUUGGAAAGAGAUUUCUAUUCUGCCUUACAUGUGGCAUAUUAUGGUCCUGAAAUCGAGUCCAUGGACCUCCUUCCUGACAGUUUUGAAGCUGAGGAACGAUCUGCCAGUGAGACUCCGGAGGUGCUCCAUAUAGUGUCAGGGAGAGAUCUUUUUGGAAUGGUACGUAUUGCCAAAAGGAUUCCUGAAAUAUCACACACCUGCAAUGUUAAGCUUUCCACCUUUUCUUCUACUGAUCUAAGGGUAUGCGAAUCCACAGAGAAUGCAAGAACCCAAAAGAAAUAUGGUUUAUCCGAUUCAAGUUUCUGUCAGAUGCACACCACAAGCUCUGAUCAGCCUACAUCCGAUGCAUAUAAAGAUCUAGAAUUGCAUAUAUCGGGACGAGUUAUUGCUGUAGGUACAAGAGUACCGCCAAUGCAAAAUGAAGACUCUGAAGAUCACAUACAUAUAUAUCUUAAUCCUGACCCAGCAUCAAUACCUUUGUCUCUUGAGUUUCCUAGAGAUUCAGAAGGUGUUUCAAGUGGGUCAAGGACUCCGUUGGGAACUAUAGUUGGACUUGGAACAAGCUCUGAUGAAGGGUCCUGCUAUGUCCGCAAUAACUUGGGGACAAAGACCCAUAUAAUCAUGAAGCAUAGAACAUUGCUGGUAAAGCACUUGCACUGGUAUCACAUAGGAGAUGAAGCUUCUGUUUGUGAGUGCAGAUGCAGGAGAGCUCAGCUACCACCCAGCAGAUUUUGGUUGUUUGAGCCUCGAUGUGGGAUGCAUGACAUUGGUGGUUGGUACGUGGAGACGUUUGGUAGAGAUAAAAAAGGGCGGAAUGUACUGUCUCAAAGAUAUUGGGAUGGACUGGAUACAAGUGAACAUUUUGACAAAAGACUUCAUCCAGCUAUGUACCUGCUUGCUCUUGCCUAUAGAACUCUGGACAUUGAAAAUAAAAAGAAACAAAAGCAAACAACACAAUACAUCUCUGCAGAUAACAUGUCUAGAAUUUGUAGUUGGUGGAAGAAACUUGUGUAGGUCAGGCAACUACUCCAGAGAUGGAGUCUAUGGCCUAUGCUAUACCAUUUAUUUCCAGGGAAUUGAUGCAGAUAGCUAACCUUCUAUAUAAAACAAGGAGUUGAGGGAGGCAACAGCAAUCUGGAGGCCUUGAAGUAGAAUGUGCGGGCGUUGUCACCUUGUGCUGUGUUGAGUGUACUGGCCUUUCAUCAGCAGCUUCCGGCUUCCGCUCUAUCGGUUUCAAUUAUCAGUUCUGCUGGAAAUCUUGCUAGCUCCAUUUGUUUAUUAAUAUAGCAUCCAUUUACUCACAUGAGGUAGAAAUAGUAAAAUUGUUGCACCAUUUGGAUGCUUAUCCGUUCCAUUUGAUGGUAAAUUAUAUAAUAAAUUUUGUGGUGAUUAUUGAA